rnacentral:lncRNA from 1 species
AGCAAACAACUCUUGAUUUUGACUCAGGUCAUGAUUCCAGGGUCAUGGGAUAGAGCCUCAGUCAGGCUCUGCACUAAGCAUGAAGCCUGCUUAAAAUUCAUUCUCUCUCUCUCUCUCUCUCUCUCUCUCUCUUUCCCUCUUCCCCUUACCCCCUUGUGAACACGUACUCUCUUUCUCUAACAAUAAAAGUUAUAUACAAACUAACAAUCUAAUCUUAGUUUCCCCUGAAUUUGCUCUUCUUCAUUUGCAGUUCACUGAAUUUAUGGUUCUAAACUGAUCCAGUGUGUGCAGACAAUUCAACUUAUGGGAGCUCCAGCUUUCCCUCUCUGAGUUGUGUCUGGGCCCCUCCUUUGUGUCCCUGAAAGGAAGAGGCUGCCAGGACUCAGUGGCAUCUGUGUGCUUGAAGGAAUUUGUCUGAGAUGACCUUAAGGCUCCAUCAUAACAUGGAUUUCCAAGACCACGUCAGCAUAGAUGCCUGUUUACAAAGGUAUUCAAACAAUGCAAGAGCUAUGGACUCUCAGAGUAUACCACUGAAGGGGAGACUGCUUAAUAAGAAGACGAAGAGGAUGGGAAAAUGGUGCCUCUAAGAUUCCCGUUAGUAAUGCAUCUGUCGGUAACCCUUCCCCACAACAUCCCUGAUCCGCCAGUAGCUGUUCCUCCUUAUGGCCCUUCCCGGAUACUUCACUUCUUAUACAUUGGGAAAUGAUUUCAAAGUGAGAGCUAUAUAAGUAAACAUUUCCCCCACUUCCUGUCAUGCUCUUAACUAGAUGCAGCAUAGAGAUUAGAACAUGAGAACAAACUGAGGGCUGAUGGGGGGUGGGAGGGGGGGAGGGUGGGUGAUGGGUAUUGAGGAGGGCACCUGUUGGGAUGAGCACUGGGUGUUGUAUGGAAACCAAUUUGACAAUAAAUUUCAUAUAUUUAAAAAAAUAAAUAAAAUA